rnacentral:lncRNA from 1 species
AAACCAGGUUCGGCAGCCGAAGGAACUUUCGGCCGCCGAACAUGCUUGUGGAGGCAGCCUUCGGCUGCCGAAGCUUGCCCCCGAAAGGAGACUUUCGUCUCUGUUUGGGAGUUUCGGCCGCCGAAAGUGCCGCCGAACAUGCAUGAGUUUCGCCUCUGUCUGGGAGUUUCGGCCGCCGAAGGUGCCGCCGAACCUGCCUGACUUUCGGCUCUGGAGGGACUUUCGGCCGC